rnacentral:rRNA from 1 species
AUUGAACGCUGGCGGCAGGCCUAACACAUGCAAGUCGAGCGGAUGAAGGGAGCUUGCUCCUGGAUUCAGCGGCGGACGGGUGAGUAAUGCCUAGGAAUCUGCCUGGUAGUGGGGGAUAACGUCCGGAAACGGGCGCUAAUACCGCAUACGUCCUGAGGGAGAAAGUGGGGGAUCUUCGGACCUCACGCUAUCAGAUGAGCCUAGGUCGGAUUAGCUAGUUGGUGGGGUAAAGGCCUACCAAGGCGACGAUCCGUACCUGGUCUGAGAGGAUGAUCAGUCACACUGGAACUGAGACACGGUCCAGACUCCUACGGGAGGCAGCAGUGGGGAAUAUUGGACAAUGGGCGAAAGCCUGAUCCAGCCAUGCCGCGUGUGUGAAGAAGGUCUUCGGAUUGUAAAGCACUUUAAGUUGGGAGGAAGGGCAGUAAGUUAAUACCUUGCUGUUUUGACGUUACCAACAGAAUAAGCACCGGCUAACUUCGUG